UCGAGCGGGCACCUUCGGGUGUCAGCGGCAGACGGGUGAGUAACGCGUGGGAACGUACCCUUCAGUUCGGAAUAACCCAGGGAAACUUGGGCUAAUACCGGAUACGUCCUGCCCCUUAAACAAGGGUGGGAGAAAGGUUUACUGCUGAAGGAUCGGCCCGCGUCGGAUUAGCUAGUUGGUAAGGUAAUGGCUUACCAAGGCAACGAUCUGUAACCGGCCUGAGAGGGCGGUCGGUCACACUGACACUGACAUACGGGUCAGACUCCUACGGGAGGCAGCAGUCGGGAAUUUUGGGCAAUGGGCGAAAGCCUGACCCAGCAACGCCGCGUGAAGGAUGAAAUUUUUCGGAAUGUAAACUUCGCAAGAACGGGAAGAAUAAGCAGAAGCGAAUACCUUCUAUGAUGACGGUACCGUUUGUAAGCUCCGGCUAACUCCGUGCCAGCAGCCGCGGUAAUACGGGGGGAGCAAGCGUUGUUCGGAUUUACUGGGCGUAAAGGGCGCGUAGGCGGUCGUGACAAGUCACUUGUGAAAUCUCCGGGCUUAACUCGGAAAGGUCAAGUGAUACUGUCGGACUAGAGUACAGAAGGGGCAACUGGAAUUCUCGGUGUAGCGGUGAAAUGCGUAGAUAUCGAGAGGAACACCUGCGGCGAAGGCGGGUUGCUGGGCUGAUACUGACGCUGAGGCGCGAAAGCUAGGGGAGCGAACGGGAUUAGAUACCCCGGUAGUCCUAGCCUU
rnacentral:rRNA from 1 species